AUCAACAUGCAUAAUCGCUUUUCAGCGUGUUUAUCAACGCCGUUGACUUAACUAUAUAUAAAUAUAUGACCUACCCCAACCCCAUCCCUAAACCUACCAGUCACUGGGGUUAAUACCAUUUAUGAGUCUUCCCUUACCAUCCUAGG